rnacentral:rRNA from 1 species
CCCUUAGAUGUUCUGGGCCGCACGCGCGCUACACUGAUGCAUUCAACGAGCCUAUCCUUGACCGACAGGUCCGGGUAAUCUUUGAAUCUGCAUCGUGACGGGGAUAGAUUAUUGCAAUUAUUAAUCUUCAACGAGGAAUGCCUAGUAGGCGCAAGUCAUCAGCUUGCGUCGAUUACGUCCCUGCCCUUUGUACACACCGCCCGUCGCUACUACCGAUUGAAUGGUUUAGUGAGAUCUCUGGAUUGACGCUGGCUAGGGGGCGACCCUUGGCCAGACUGCUCGAGAAACUGCUCAAACUUGAUCAUUUAGAGGAAGUAAAAGUCGUAACA